AACACAUGCAAGUCGAACGGUAACAGGACGCUCUGAUUCCUUCGGGAUGAAGUUGUCGCUGACGAGUGGCGGACGGGUGAGUAAUGCAUAGGAAUCUGCCCAGUAGUGGGGGAUAACGUGGAGAAAUCCACGCUAAUACCGCAUAUGUCCUACGGGACAAAGCAGGGGACCUUCGGGCCUUGCGCUAUUGGAUGAGCCUAUGUCGGAUUAGCUAGUUGGUAGGGUAAUGGCCUACCAAGGCAACGAUCCGUAGCUGGUUUGAGAGGAUGAUCAGCCACACUGGGACUGAGAUACGGCCCAGACUCCUACGGGAGGCAGCAGUGGGGAAUAUUGCACAAUGGGCGAAAGCCUGAUGCAGCAAUGCCGCGUGUGUGAAGAAGGCCUGCGGGUUGUAAAGCACUUUUAUUAGGAAAGAAAAACCCGGAAUUAAUACUUCCGGCAUUGACGGUACCUAAAGAAUAAGCACCGGCUAACUAAGUGCCAGCAGCCGCGGUAAUACUUAGGGUGCGAGCGUUAAUCGGAAUUACUGGGCGUAAAGCGAGUGUAGGCGGCUUCGUAAGUCGGAUGUGAAAGCCCUGGGCUCAACCUGGGAACUGCAUUCCAAACUGCAAAACUAGAGUAUGGUAGAGGAUAGUGGAAUUUCCAGUGUAGCGGUGAAAUGCGUAGAGAUUGGAAGGAACAUCAGUGGCGAAGGCGGCCCCCUGGAUUGAUACUGACACUGAGGUGCGAAAGCGUGGGUAGCAAACAGGAUUAGAUACCCUGGUAGUCCAUGCCGUAAACGAUGUCAACUAGCCGUUGGAAGACUUGAUCUUUUAGUGGCGCAGCUAACGCAAUAAGUUGACCGCCUGGGGAGUACGGCCGCAAGGUUAAAACUCAAAUGAAUUGACGGGGGCCCGCACAAGCGGUGGAGCAUGUGGUUUAAUUCGAUGCAACGCGAAGAACCUUACCAGGCCUUGACAUCCUAGAAACUUUGUAGAGAUACAUUGGUGCCUUCGGGAAUCUAGAGACAGGUGCUGCAUGGCUGUCGUCAGCUCGUGUCGUGAGAUGUUGGGUUAAGUCCCGCAACGAGCGCAACCCUUGUCCUUAGUUGCCAGCACGUAAUGGUGGGAACUCUAAGGAGACUGCCGGUGAUAAACCGGAGGAAGGUGGGGACGACGUCAAGUCAUCAUGGCCCUUACGGCCUGGGCUACACACGUGCUACAAUGGUGGAUACAGAGGGCUGCGAAGCCGCGAGGUGGAGCUAAUCUCAGAAAACCGAUCGUAGUCCGGAUUGGAGUUUGCAACUCGACUCCAUGAAGUCGGAAUCGCUAGUAAUCGCGAAUCAGAAUGUCGCGGUGAAUACGUUCCCGGGCCUUGUACACACCGCCCGUCACACCAUGGGAGUGGGUUGCACCAGAAGUGAUUAGUCUAACCUUCGGGAGGACGAUCACCACGGUGUGAUUCAUGACUGGGGUGAAGUCGUAACAAGGUAGCCCUAGGG
rnacentral:rRNA from 1 species